rnacentral:tRNA from 1 species
CACUCUCAAAGGACCGCAGUCCAAGCCCGCCAAUCUUAGGCGUUGGAGACCCU